rnacentral:lncRNA from 1 species
UAAAAGUAAACUUAAAAUAUAGGAUCUUUAGGUGCUGGAAAAAUAGAUAAUCUCUUUCACAUAAUGAAUCUAUGUUCUAGAAGGAUCAUCAGACUUAAUGAUGUGAUGAUGAGAUGAAAAGCCAUCUCACGCAUUUAGAGAAGUGGAUUGCCUGACUAAUUAAGAUUGUAUCUCAAUUGGUCACAUGGUCAGUACAGAUAUAGCAACUCUUGUUGCAAAGCUGUCUUUUUUUUAUAUAUAUAUAUCUGAAGAUGAAGAUCUACUAUCUAGUG